rnacentral:rRNA from 1 species
GUCUACGGCCAUGUCACCCUGAAUGUGCCCGAUCUCAUCUGAUCUUGGAAGCUAAGAAGGGCCUGGUUAGUACUUGGAUGGGAGACUACCUAGGAAUAUCAGGUGCUGUAGGUA